GUUCAAAACUUGACAACUACCAUUUAGGUGGUCCAGACUGCUCUGGCGCCUUCUCCAACAGUGCCAUAAUCUGCUCAAGCUGUCCCUACACUUCCUUUAGUGGUGCAACCAGUGGCCUUCUUAACGGCACCAUCGAUGCCUCCUGUGAUGGUGCCCCCAUCGAAUUUAGUUCCACACUCGGCUCCUCAACCUCCACCACGACCAAAGCCGCAUAUGCCUCCUCAGAGCCCGAAGAAGAGACACACUCAUCAGAGCCGUUCAAAGGCCCAGCAGCCAGCUAGACGAAGAUUUUCUAGUUCGUGAUUGGGGGAUGAUUCAACCUCCAGUCGCCACUCUCCACAGCAUUCCAAGGCCUGCACCA
rnacentral:lncRNA from 1 species